AUUGAACGCUGGCGGCAGGCCUAACACAUGCAAGUAGAGCGGAGCGGCGGACGGGUGAGUAAUGCCUAGGAAUCUGCACGGUAGUGGGGGAUAAAGUCCGGAAACGGGCGCUAAUACCGCAUACUAUCAGAUGAGCCUAGGUCGGAUUAGCUAGUGGGUGGGGUAAAGGCCUACGAAGGCGACGAUCCGUAACUGGUCUGAGAGGAGGGUCAGUCACAUUGGAACUGAGACACGGUCCAGGCUCCUACGGGAGGCAGCAGGGGGGAAUAUUGGACAAUGGGCGAAAGCCUGAUCCAGCCAUGCCGCGUGUGUGAAGAAGGUCUUCGGAUUGUAAAGCACUGUAAGUUGGGAGGCGUUACCAACAGAAUAAGCACCGGCUAACUUCGUGCCAGCAGCCGCGGUAAUAC
rnacentral:rRNA from 1 species